AAGUCGUAACAAGGUUUCCGUAGGUGAACCUGCGGAAGGAUCAUUAAAAAAUCUAUCUUGAGCCGCAAGGCUCUUUUAAUUUGUGAAAUGUUUGUGGAGGUGCGCAAGGCUCUGUUUGUGUUAACGCACAAGGGGUGUUUUUGCGCUUUCCCUCCCGUUUACUUUAAACAUAUGUUUUUGAUGUUGAGGAAUGUGUAUACAUAAUAAUAAAUAUACAACUUUCAACAGUGGAUCUCUCGGCUCUU
rnacentral:misc_RNA from 1 species